AGCAAAGUGAUGAGGUCUUAAUAUCUGAAUAUGAUGUGGAUUCCUAAUUUCAAAUGGUCUUCAAAAUUCUCGGAUUGCU
rnacentral:snoRNA from 2 species